UCCAACGUCUCGGGCCUCUACCUC
rnacentral:miRNA from 1 species